rnacentral:rRNA from 1 species
CCUACGGGAGGCAGCAGUGGGGAAUAUUGGGCAAUGGACGCAAGUCUGACCCAGCAACGCCGCGUGAAGGAAGAAGGCUUUCGGGUUGUAAACCUCUUUUGCCGGGGAGCAACGGGGUCCUUGCGAGGGCCCGAUGAGAGUACCCGGAGAAAAAGCAUCGGCUAACUCCGUGCCAGCAGCCGCGGUAAUACGGAGGAUGCGAGCGUUAUCCGGAUUUAUUGGGUUUAAAGGGUGCGUAGGCGGGCUGUUAAGUCAGCGGUCAAAUGUCGGGGCUCAACCCCGGCCUGCCGUUGAAACUGGCGGCCUCGAGUGGGCGAGAAGUAUGCGGAAUGCGUGGUGUAGCGGUGAAAUGCAUAGAUAGCACGCAGAACUCCGAUUGCGAAGGCAGCAUACCGGCGCCCGACUGACGCUGAGGCACGAAAGCGUGGGUAUCGAACAGGAUUAGAUACCCUAGUAGUC